AUGCAUUGCAGAGCAAGAUUAAAUGCAGCUAAGGAAACGCAUUACCUCAGAGAAGAGAACAGUAAACUAAGUCAGGACCUGAGCUGUAUCGCAACAGAAAAUAACAAGAUUGCUGGGCAACUAGAGAUCCUGAGAUCACAAGAGAAAUGUCUCAAAGAAAAACUAUCUAAGAUGGAGACAGCCCGUGAUAAGAUGCUUUCCAAGCUAAGCAUUUUGAAGGAGGAACCACUGCAGGACUUAAAGAGGACUCCUCAAAAAUUAACAAGCUCAGAUGAUAACAUCUCCUCUGUAGAUCUUGGCAAGAAUGACAGCGAUGGUGGGAAAACAUCACCUUUAGCAACCAUAAGGAACACUGUGGAGGCUCCAACUAUAGAUUCUGCCACUGAAAGCAGCAUGGAACAGGAUUCUUUUGUCCGCUCCACGUUACACAUCCAGACCUAA
ensembl:lncRNA